AUAUUGGCCAGAGACCGAUAGCGCACAAGUAGAGUGAUCGAAAGAUGAAAAGCNCUUUGAAAAGAGGGUUAAACAGUACGUGAAAUUGUUGAAAGGGAAGCGCUUGUGACCAGACUUGGGCCCGGUUAAUCAUCCAGCGUUCUCGCUGGUGCACUUGGCCGGCCCAGGCCAGCAUCAGUUCGGCGUGGGGGAUAAAGGCGGCGGGAAUGUGGCUCCUCCGGGAGUGUUAUAGCCCACCGUGUAGUGCCCUGUGCUGGACUGAGGUUCGCGCAUUCGCAAGGAUGCUGGCGUAAUGGUCAUUAGCGACCCGUCUUGAAACACGGACC
rnacentral:rRNA from 1 species